CUAACUACGUGCCAGCAGCCGCGGUAAUACGUAGGUGGCAAGCGUAGUCCGGAAUUAUUGGGCGUAAAGGGCUCGCAGGCGGUUUCUUAAGUCUGAUGUGAAAGCCCCCGGCUCAACCGGUGAGGGUCAUUGGAAACUGGGGAACUUGAGUGCAGAAGAGGAGAGUGGAAUUCCACG
rnacentral:rRNA from 1 species